rnacentral:lncRNA from 1 species
UUUUCAUCCAUCUUUGCAACCAGUAUUGAUAGAGUGGCUACUGUGACUUGCACUAAGCUGGGUGGGCAUGCUUUAGGCACCCAGGGAAGCAAGGCAUGGUCUCUCACCUCAAGGAGCCCACCCACUUCCAGGAGAAACAGCUUUGCCACUUCAUUCUUGGGCCCACGCUGAAGAACCAGUCUUUUUCUGAAACAUUGCUAAGAAUGUGGCAGAAGGAAGAGAUAUGGCAGAACUUCAUCAUGGCCCUGACAAACUCUGCUCUGAAAACCUUCAUGAUGGUGCUGAAAACUGACUCCCCCUGAGAGUUCCUUGGCUAAAUGAGUCACUUGGCCAAGCCUGACAUCCUCAGAGUGGGAAAACAAUCUUCCCAAAAUAAGGGCACCAUAAA